rnacentral:tRNA from 1 species
GCCUUGUUCGCUCAGUCGGUAGAGCAUGAGACUCUUAUUCUCAGGGACGGGGGUUCGAGCCCCCCGUUGGACG